rnacentral:rRNA from 1 species
UGCGCAGGCGGCCGGGUGUGUCAGAUGUGAAAUCCCGAGGCUUAACCUCGGAACUGCGUCUGAAACUACUCGGCUAGAGUAUUGGAGAGGGUAACGGAAUUCACGGUGUAGCAGUGAAAUGCGUAGAUAUCGUGAGGAACACCAGAGGCGAAGGCGGUUACCUGGACAAUUACUGACGCUCAGGCACGAAAGCAUGGGGAGCAAAAG